rnacentral:tRNA from 1 species
ACCUGGCUGGCUCAGUCAGUAAAGCGUGAAACUCUUGAUCUCAGGGUCGUGAGUUCAAACCCCAAGUUGGGUG